GACUUUGAGAGUUCCGCUUAUGGCUGCAGGGUCAACCAAUUUGUUGUUGGGACCCUGGAGCUGAAUGGCUUUCCUGUCUGUCGAUCCUUGGCUCAGCCCAGAAGUACAGGAAAAGCGGAAGCUGGUUCCAGACAAACCAACGCUCUCAACUCUGAAGAGUCAGGAGUUGUUAGAGAGCCUUUUCUCAGAAAGCCUGACACCCGUGUCUUUAGUCUGGCAUCCAUGCUAGUCACUUUUAACUGGCCAAUAGGUGCCUGGUAUUUAGUCCCCAAAUUCUAAGGAAAAAUAAGACAGAAUAGCAAGCAAAAGGGGUCUGAUGGUACUCACCACUUGGUGAUAGGCGACAGUCCCAUCUGGGUCACCAAAAUAUGUCUGGAAUUGGUUCCUUCCAGUGGGUUCUUGGUCUCACUGACUUCAAGAAUGAAGCCGCGGACCCUCGCACAUGAUUGUGAGGCCUCCCCACCCACAUGGAAUGAGUUCCCCAGCUAUCCCCCAGUGGCUUGGAGAUUCCCAUUUCAAGAGUGUAGAGUUCUACCCAGAAGGUGGCUGCGUGGACAGUGACUACAUUCUCAGCUCCAUGCCUAUUUGGGUGAGGCCCUGUGAUGAAUGGUCAUCAGUGGAAUAUGAGCAGAAGUGUUAUGUGUCAGAAGAAGACAUGCCUUCUCCAUCCUUUCUUUUCCCCUACCCUCUGGUUUGUGUUGGUUUCCAGGGUGUCCUUGGGAGGGGUUUGGGCCAUAAUUUCAAAAGACACAGUGCUAAAUACCACAAUCCCAAAUGUUGAAAUCUGGAAAGAUCAAAAUCUCUAAAGGAAGGCACACAUUUAAGAUGGCAAAGCCACUGUGCCUUUGUCCCUAAAUAAGAGUGGGGCAACUGUGCCUUUCACCACUCUGCUGUUAACCAGUUAUACACACAAUGAACUGUUACGUUAGCAAAAAAAAUGUUUCUUGUAAAGGCCACUGAAAUUGUGGAGUUUGUCUGUUACAGUAACUAGCAGUACUCUAACUAAAAUGAGCGUCUUUCAUAAUAGAGAUGAGAAUUCAGAUUUCUACUAUUCUCUGACAAAUCUCCAUAACACUUAUUUACCAAACCACUGAUUUUAAUUGUGCUGAACGGAAAUGAUCAUGGAGAGUCACUUUUCCAAUGACCUCUCUGUCCCUUGGUUUUCCAUUGUUUAAGGUGAAUGAUAAUUUCUAUCUUUUAUUUCUAUUUGUGGUAUCCAAACAAAAUCAUCAUAAAAACUCCAUUAUGGCAUAGUUAAUUGUAAAAUAAAUAUAUAUGACCAAAAAAAUUAAAAA
rnacentral:lncRNA from 1 species